UAGGGAAUCUUCCGCAAUGGACGCAAGUCUGACGGAGCAACGCCGCGUGAGUGAAGAAGGAUUUCGGUUCGUAAAACUCUGUUGUUAGAGAAGAACAGCGCAUAGAGUAACUGUUAUGCGUGUGACGGUAUCUAACCAGAAAGCCACGGCUAACUACGUGCCAGCAGCCGCGGUAAUACGUAGGUGGCAAGCGUUGUCCGGAUUUAUUGGGCGUAAAGCGAGCGCAGGCGGUCAAUUAAGUCUGAUGUGAAAGCCCCCGGCUCAACCGGGGAGGGUCAUUGGAAACUGGAAAACUUGAGUGCAGAAGAGGAAAGUGGAAUUCCAUGUGUAGCGGUGAAAUGCGCAGAGAUAUGGAGGAACACCGGUGGCGAAAGCGGCUAUCUGGUCUGUAACUGACGCGGAGGCUCGAAAGCGUGGGGAGCGAACAGG
rnacentral:rRNA from 1 species